rnacentral:tRNA from 1 species
GGGGUUAUAGCUCAGUUGGUUAGAGCGCUUCGUUGACAUCGAAGAGGCCAGAGGUUCGAGUCCUCUUAACCCCACCA